UCCCUGAUAACUCAGUUGGUAAAGAAUCUGCCUGCAAUGCAGGAGACCCUGGUUCAAUUCCUGAGUCGGAAAG
rnacentral:tRNA from 1 species